rnacentral:ncRNA from 1 species
ACCAAGGAGUCUAACAUGUGCGCGAGCCGCGGGGCAGUACGAAACCCGUAAGGCGAAAUGAAGGUGAACGCCGGCGCGGUCCGGCGGAGGUUGGAUCCCGUCCCGUCGGGGCGGGCGCACUACCGGCCGAUCUUCUCCGCCCUGUCGGCGAGGUCGAGCGAGAGCGUGCAAGUCGGGACCCGAAAGAUGGUGAACUAUGCCUGAGGAGGUUGAAGCCAGAAGAAACUCUGGUGGAGGACCGUAGCGAUUCUGACGUGC